rnacentral:sRNA from 1 species
AGAUGCUGAAAAAUGGAAGAGGCAACCUCACAAAGGUUUUCAUGGGACUAGAGGAUAAGUGGAGCAAUGCGUCAAGACGUUUUAGCAAGAGGCAAUGCGAGGCAAUGUAAGGCAAUGAGAAAUUGUAUUGCUUCAUGAGAGAAACAGCAAUUACAAACACGUGAUUCAUUACGAGCUCAUCAUUUGGAUUGAUUGUAGAAUUUAGUUUCGUUCACAUUCAAAUUUAAAAAAAAAUGAAAUUAUUUUUAAAAUACAGGACAAAAAGGUUUAAAUAUAUAGGUCAUGUCUAUGUUAUUCAAAUU